UGCAAGUCGAACGGUAACAGGGAAGAAGCUUGCUUCUUUGCUGACGAGUGGCGGACGGGUGAGUAAUGUCUGGGAAACUGCCUGAUGGAGGGGGAUAACUACUGGAAACGGUAGCUAAUACCGCAUAACGUCGCAAGACCAAAGAGGGGGACCUUCGGGCCUCUUGCCAUCGGAUGUGCCCAGAUGGGAUUAGCUUGUUGGUGGGGUAACGGCUCACCAAGGCGACGAUCCCUAGCUGGUCUGAGAGGAUGACCAGCCACACUGGAACUGAGACACGGUCCAGACUCCUACGGGAGGCAGCAGUGGGGAAUAUUGCACAAUGGGCGCAAGCCUGAUGCAGCCAUGCCGCGUGUAUGAAGAAGGCCUUCGGGUUGUAAAGUACUUUCAGCGGGGAGGAAGGGAGUAAAGUUAAUACCUUUGCUCAUUGACGUUACCCGCAGAAGAAGCACCGGCUAACUCCGUGCCAGCAGCCGCGGUAAUACGGAGGGUGCAAGCGUUAAUCGGAAUUACUGGGCGUAAAGCGCACGCAGGCGGUUUGUUAAGUCAGAUGUGAAAUCCCCGGGCUCAACCUGGAACUGCAUCUGAUACUGGCAAGCUUGAGUCUCGUAGAGGGGGGUAGAAUUCCAGGUGUAGCGGUGAAAUGCGUAGAGAUCUGAGGAAUACCGUUGGCGAAGGCGGCCCCUGUACGAGACUGACGCUCAGGUGCGAAAGCGUGGGGAGCA
rnacentral:rRNA from 1 species